ACGUAGGGGGCGAGCGUUGUCCGGAAUUACUGGGCGUAAAGGGUGCGUAGGCGGUUAUUUAAGUCAGAUGUGAAAUCCCCGGGCUUAAAUCGGGUGUUGCAUUUGAAACUGGGUAACUAGAGUGCAGGAGAGGGAAGCGGAAUUCCUAGUGUAGCGGUGAAAUGCUUAGAUAUUAGGAGGAACACCAGUGGCGAAGGCGGCUUUCUGGACUGUAACUAACGCUGAGGCACGAAAGCGUGGGGAGCAAACAG
rnacentral:rRNA from 1 species